UGUUAAAAUUUUUAUCCAUUUCUAUUACUAAAAACUAGUAUAGUUGAUAGAAUAAUCAGACAAUUACACUUGGCACACCAUGUUUAUCUCAUUCUAACAUCCAGGAUUAGUUUUUAACAAUAGAAAUUGAUGAAAUUCUCAAUA
rfam:Gossypium hirsutum cultivar TM-1 chromosome 5, whole genome shotgun sequence